GGCCAACUAACUCAGCUGGUUAGCGCGUGGUGCUAAUAACACCAAGGUCAUGGGUUCAGAUCCCAUGCUGGCCA
rnacentral:tRNA from 1 species